UACGGAGGGUGCAAGCAUUAAUCGGAUUUAUUGGGCGUAAAGGGCGCGUAGGCGGGGAUGUAAGUCAGAUGUGAAAUCCCGAGGCUCAACCUCGGAACAGCAUUUGAAACUCCAUCUCUUGAGGAUAGGCGGAGAAAACGGAAUUCCACAUGUAGCGGUGAAAUGCGUAGAUAUGUGGAAGAACAUCGGUGGCGAAGGCGGUUUUCUAGCUUAAACCUGACGCUGAGGCGCGAAAGCAAGGGGAUCAAACAGG
rnacentral:rRNA from 1 species